rnacentral:rRNA from 1 species
AAUGAACGCUGGCGGCAGGCCUAACACAUGCAAGUCGAGCGGAGCGGCGGACGGGUGAGUAAUGCCUAGGAAUCAGCCUGGUAGUGGGGGAUAACGUCCGGAAACGGGCGAUAAUACCGCAUAAGAUCAGAUGAGCCUAGGUCGGAUUAGCUAGUUGGUGGGGUAAGGCCUACCAAGGCGACGAUCCGUAACUGGUCUGAGAGGAUGAUCAGUCACACUGGAACUGGGACCGGGUCCAUGUGCCUACGGGAGGCACCAGUGGCGAAUGUUGGACAAUGGGCGAAAGCCUGAGCCAGCCAUGCCGCGUGUGUGAAGAAGGUCUUCGGUUUGUAAAGCACUUUAAGUUGGUGGGCGGUACCAACAGAAUAAGCACCGGCUAACUUCGUGCCAGCAGCCGCGGUAAUAC